UUUGUAACCAAUCCAUUUUGAUAUAACACAAGUACGCAAGCCAAAUGUGCACAUAAUAACCCUAAUCAUUGCAUCCUCUUUUGCUAGUCACAAUUAAACCCCUGACAUUGGCUAGUACAAUUAGGAGAAUGAUAAAAAAAAAGUUCUGUACGUAGGGAGAGAUACCAAAUCACAACAUAUUUUACAGCCUUUGAACUUUUAUAAAAUGCUCCCCUUUUGCAACUCUGAAUCAGAAAAUAUAUUGAACGAAUAGUUAUGAUUUGUCCAUAUGGCUGCCGGACCAUAAGAGGUUCACCAACCAAUGUCGUUUCAGACAAGGCUAUGCCAUCUCCGAUGCUUGCAUGUUCUGCAACCUCUCAAAAAUAGUUGAGCAUGCUCUUCUUCACCAUCCUUGGCUGUAGUAGAAGUAGAACUAAGGAAUUGUGGGAGGGGUCUUUACUGUCAGUUAAACCCUGAACCGAUCGUAGCUGAGCCGGUUUCCCCGGUUCUCUAGUUUGCUUUUGAAUGCAAUAAAGUGCAUGGCCGCGAUCCGUGCGUGCCGUGCGCGACUAGGAGUAGGAGCUGGCCGCGGUAAGCACGCACUCUCCAUGGACGUGGGAUGGUACGUUCAAGCGAGCGGGGUUGAGGCGUGCAAAUUGGCUGGGCUGUUUAGGACGAACAGAAUAAGAGGAGAAGGAAAACAGAAAAGCAGCAAGAAGUUGUGCGCUGCGAAAAAUAUCACCAUCUCUUGUGUGUUCUUCAGAGAGAGAGAGAGAGAGAGAGCGAGGGAGUGAGAACGAGCGCGGCGACUGCCUGACAAUUGGUAUCAGAGCCACCGGCGACGAGGGCCAUGGCGGGCAGCAGGGAGGCCGGCGCCGACGAGGGCCAUGGCGGGCAGCAGGGAGGCCGGCGCCGACGAGGCACCGGCUGUAGCUGCCCAGGGACUCGGCGGGGAGGCGACGCCAUGGGCGCAGACGGAGACGCGGGGACGGAGCUGCGGACGCAGCCGCGUCAGAAGGAACCCGGGCGAGGUGAUCGUCCACGAGCGCGUGAUCCGGGAGGCGAGCGGGCACGGCGGAGCGAUCAUCUACCCCACCCUGACGCCCACCAACUACAUUGAGUGGGCCCGGAUCAUGCAGAUCAACCUCCGCGCGCAGGGCCUAUGGGAGGCCAUGCUCGGCGACGGCAUGGUCACCGAUCGGGAGGACAUGGCGGCGCUCGCCGCACUCAUCCGCGCCGUGCCUCCAGAGAUGCACGGCGUCCUCGCCGUCAAGAACACCGCGUAUGAAGCCUGGGAGGCUGUACGCACGAUGCGGCUAGGGGCGACCCGUGUCAGGGAGGCGACGGCCCAACGCCUCCGCAGCGACUUCGAAUAGAUCACGUUCAGGGACGGCAAAACCCUGGACGCCUUCGCCAUGCGCAUCACCGGCCUCGCCAACAACCUCCGAUCGCUGGGCGACAACGUGGAGGAGGUACGCGUUGUCCGAAAGAUCCUGCGCGUGGUGCCGGCUCGCUACGCGCAGAUCGCCUGCACCAUCGAGACGCUCCUUGACCUGUCGACGCUGACGGUAGAGGAGCUCGUCGGCCGCCUCCGAUCCGCGGAGGAACGCUGCGCCGGCGACACAAGGAACCAGAGCGGCCAGCUACUGUUCACGGAGCAGGAGUGGGAGGCGCGCAAGAGCCAGCGCGAGCUCGGGCAAGGUUCUGGCUCGAAUGGUGGCGCGAACGGCAACAGCGGGCAACGACAAGGCAAGCAGCCCGGCAGCGGCGGGCAGCGGCGCGGCCGUGACAUGUCAAAGGUGAAGUGCUAUAAUUGCAAUAAACUAGGGCACUUCUCCAGGGAUUGCAAGGAACCACGCCGCGAACGGCGUGGACAGGGGCAGGGCGCGCCGGGGCAGGCGCCGGCGGCCCAGCCUCAGCAGAGGGCCAAUUUGGCCCGGAUCGAUGACGACGAGGCUGGCCUUCUACUGGCGCAGUCUUGCACUCUCCACGAGCGGGAGCCUGCGCUCCUGAUGGCCACCGUUCUCCCGGCCGACGCGCACAAGGAGGUGGAGGGCGUCGCCGCAGCGCACGGGCACGCUGUCGGUGCGCCCACCUACGUCGAGUUGGUCGAGAACCAGGUGCACCUGGCCAAGGAGGGGCGUGGCGAUGACGUCUGGUUCCUCGACACAGGAGCCAGCAACCACAUGACCGACGUGAGGGGAGUCUUCGCCGAGCUCGACACCGGAGUCACGGGCACGGUGAAGUUCGGGAACGGCUCGCUAGUGGACAUCCAGGGGCGCGGCACGAUCCUUUUCGCCUGCCGCAACGGUGAGCACCGCGCUCUGACUGACGUCUACUAUAUCCCGCGACUACGCAGCAACAUCGUCAGCCUUGGGCAGCUCGACGAAACGGGCUGUCAGACCCUCAUCGAGCACGGCGUCCUUCGCCUGCGAGACCAGCAGCGGCAGCUCCUCGUCAAGGUGCCGCGCACGAGGAACCGCCUGUACGUGGUCACGCUGGCCAUCACGCAGCCGGUGUGCCUCGCCGCGCAUGCUGGUGAGGCGGCCUGGACAUGGCACGAGCGAUAUGGGCACCUGAAUUUCGACGCGCUCCGGAAGCUCGCACGCCACGGCAUGGUGCGCGGACUCCCUACGAUUGAGCACGCACAGCAGCUAUGCGACAGCUGCCUGGCGGGAAAGCAGAGGCGGGCACCGUUCCCGCAAGCUGCCACGCGCCGCGCGGAGGGGCUCCUAGACCUCGUGCACGGCGAUCUCUGCGGGCCGAUUGCUUCGGCCACCGCAGGAGCGAGGCGGUACUUCCUCCUCCUCGUCGAUGACCUGAGCCGCUACAUGUGGAUCAGGCUGCUCACCACGAAGGACGAGGCGGCCGCGGAGAUCAGGCGCUUCAAAGCCGGCGUCGAGGUCGAGACUGGCCGUAAGCUACGCCUCCUCCGCACGGACCGUGGCGGGGAAUUCACCGCCGCCACAUUCGCCACCUACUGCGCCGAAGAGGGGGUGGGGCGCCAGCUAACGGCACCUUACUCCCCGCAGCAGAACGGCGCCGUUGAGCGGCGCAACCAAACGAUCGUCGCUGCGGCGAGGUGCCUCAUGAAGGCCAAGGGGGUGCCGGCGAGGUUCUGGGGAGAGGCGGUGGCGACCGCCGUCUAUCUCUUGAACCGAUCACCCACGAAGAGCGUAGCUGGCAAGACUCCCUACGAGGUAUGGCAUGGGCAUAAACCCAAUGUGGAUCACCUACGCGUGUUCGGCUGCGUUGCGCAUGUCAAGGUGGUGAAGGCGCACGCCGCCAAGCUCGAAGACCGGAGCACGCCCAUGGUGUUCCUGGGAUAUGAGCCUGGAACGGCGGGGUAUCGUGUCUACGACCUAGUCCGCAACCGUGUGCAGGUGUCUCGCAAUGUCGUCUUCGACGAGGCCGCACGGUGGGAUUGGGGGAGCAAUGGGGCAGCACCGAUGGCCGUGGAGUUUACCGUCGACACCUACUCCUACACGGUGACACGGCCGGCGGCAUCAUCUUCACCACGCGGAGGGGCUUCAACCGCGGCGAGCGCGCGUGGCGAGAGUGCUGUCCCUGGGAUGGCCUCGCCAGGGCGAGCGGAAGCGUCGCCGCCGAGCCCAGAACCCUCUUUGGAGCAAGGAGAGGCCACGGCCGCCUCCCAUGCCAACGACGGCGACACACCGCGUCCACGGCAUCCCAUGACGACGCGUGCACGGGACGGCGUUGUACAGCCGAACAAGCAGUACGAGGAUUACGUCAUGCUCGCGCACGACGAUGAACUGUACCUCGGCGAGAUCGACGAGCCCAAGACAUUUGCUGAGGCCGAGGGCGAGGGAACCUGGCGUCACGCCAUGGACGAGGAGAUGGCCUCGAUCAUCUCCAACAACACCUGGCGCCUCGUCGAUCUACCUGCAGGUCACAAGGCGAUCCGGCUCAAAUGGGUUUACAAGCUCAAGCGUGAUGCGAACGGCUACAUCCAGAAGCACAAGGCGCGCUUGGUUGCGAAGGGCUACGUCCAGAAGCAAGGAGUGGACUCGAGGAGGUGUUCGCUCCCGUGGCGAGACUUGAGUCCGUGCGGCUGCUGAUCGCUCUCGCCGCGCAUGAAGGAUGGCAAGUUCACCACAUGGACGUCAAGAGCGCGUUUCUGAACGGCGACCUGAAGGAGGAGGUGUACGUCGCACAGCCGCCGGGCUACGACGUCGAGGGCCAGGAGCACAAGGUGCUCCGCCUCGACAAAGCUCUCUACGGGCUGCGGCAAGCACCGCGCGCGUGGAACGCAAAGCUCGACAGCUGUCUGCUGGGCCUCGGCUUCACCAGGAGCCCGGCGGAGCACGCCGUUUACAGACGGGGAACCGGGGCGGCACGCCUGCUCGUCGGCGUGUACGUGGAUGACCUGAUCAUCACCGGCAACGACCACGACGAAAUCGGCAAGUUCAAGAUGGAGAUGCAGAGGCUUUUUCGCAUGAGCGACCUGGGUUUGCUGAGCUUCUACCUCGGCAUUGAAGUGAAGCAAACGACGAACGGCAUCUCCCUCAGCCAGGCAGCAUACGCCAGCAAGAUCAUCGAGAAGGCCGGCCUGCUGGGGUGUAACCCUUGCCACACUCCCAUGGAGCCACGGUUCAAGCUCAGCAGAGUGAGUUCAGCUCCGGGCACAGACAAGACGGCGUACAGAAGCGUCGUGGGUGCACUGCGUUAUCUGGUGCACACGCGCCCGGACCUGGCCUACUCUGUGGGCUAUGUGAGCCGGUUCAUGGAGGCACCGACGACGGAGCACCUUGCCGCCGUCAAGCAAAUCAUCAGGUAUGUCGCGGGAACGCAGCACUACUGCUGCUUCUAUGCGAGGGGCGCAACUGGGGCAUCCCUGGUCGGCUUCAGCGACAGCGACAUGGCAGGCGACGUCGACACGCGCAAGAGCACGACCGGCGUCCUCUUCUUCUUCGGGCGGAGCUUGAUCAGCUGGCAGUCACACAAGCAACGAGUGGUGGCCCUGUCCACCUGCGAGGCGGAGUACAUCGCCGCCGCAACGGCGGCCUGCCAGGGCGUCUGGCUUGCUCGGCUACUUGGCGACAUCAAGAACAAGGAGGCCGAGCAGGUCACGCUGAAGAUUGACAACAAGGCAGCUAUCUCCCUCAGCAAGAACCCCGUCUUCCACGAUCGCAGUAAGCACAUUGACACAAGGUUUCAUUUCCUGCGCGAAUGUGUUGAAGAUGGGCGCAUUGAGGUGGAGUUCAUCGGCACCAAUGGACAGCUCGCCGACAUCCUGACAAAGGCGCUCGGGCGCGUCAAGUUUCAGGAACUUCGAGAAGAGAUUGGUGUAGUUCAUAUUCAGUAGUGGUUCAAGGUUUAGGGAGGCAAUGUCAGUUAAACCCUGAACCGAUCGUAGCUGAGCCGGUUUCCCCGGUUCUCUAGUUUGCUUUUGAAUGCAAUAAGGUGCAUGGCCGCGAUCUGUGCGUGCCGUGCGCGACUAGGAGUAGGAGGUGGCCGCGGUAAGCACGCACUCUCCAUGAACGUGGGAUGGCACGUUCAAGUGAGCGGGGUUGAGGCGUGCAAAUCGGCCGGGCUGUUUAGGACAAACCGAAUAAGAGGAGAAGGAAAACAGAAAAGCAGCAAGAAGUUGUGUGCUGCAAAAAAUAUCACCGUCUCUUGUGUGUUCUUCCGAGAGAGAGAGAGCGAGGGAGUGAGAACGAGCGCGGCGACUGCCUGACAUUUACUUUGCAAAGUUUGGUCUUCACUGUCACCGAGAAUAGUUUCAUGUUACCCCAAGCAAAGCAAUAUAUACCGAUGCUUAUAAAAAAAGACUUAAGACUCUGACUUGGCCACUGUCACAGAUAAUAGUUUAUAGUUAUCCCAUGCAAAGCAACAUCCAAAACAAACAUUUGGGAACAGAGAAAUCAUGGAAAGAAAAACAACCAAAUAAAGUUUGCAUUAUUUUAUGUAUGUGGCUUCAAGUUUUUUUGCUUAAAUUGGCCAAAAUGUUGAAGAACCAAAGUAAAAUAGUGUCUUUAAAAUUAGAAGAUAUGACACUAUAUAAAAUACUCCCUCCGUCUCAUUAUGCAAGACAUUUUUUGACUCUAGUGUAGUGUCAAAAAAGUCUUACAUUAUGGGACGGAGCGAGUAACUAAUAAAGAGUUGGUGUGCAAGCAAAAAUUGAGGGCAAGAAAGUAGAAAUACCUCCGCUGGGACUCAAGUGGUAAAACGGAUCACUGCCCUUGUGUACGCAUUGGCCCCGGCUACAAAUCCAAGGCCGCAAUAAUCUGCCAGGCCAUCGAGGUGUCUGUUUCGAGGUGCAGAGGCCAGAGGAGCAAUAUAUACAUGCAAUCGAGCACGUGCAAUGCACAUAUCAACCAAUAUGUAGCAUAUUGGAACUCUAGACGACAUAACAUAGCUACGCCUCAACUAAUAAUAAUCAAAAGGAGAAUGUUUGGAAGCAGACGAAAUCCAUACACGUUUACAGUUACACACUAAGAAUAUAACUGAUAAACCAUGAAUUUCCAUGUGUUAUUCUGCGAAAAAAUGUAACUAUAGAUCUAACUAUUGAAUAUUCAUGAUGACCCUUUUUUGACUUUUGAGAGAAAGACCAAGCAACUGAAAA
rnacentral:lncRNA from 1 species